AGUGAACGCUGGCGGUAGACCUAACACAUGCAAGUCGAACGGCAGCACAGUAAGAGCUUGCUCUUACGGGUGGCGAGUGGCGGACGGGCGAGGAAUACAUCGGAAUCUACUUUUUCGUGGGGGAUAACGUAGGGAAACUUACGCUAAUACCGCAUACGACCUACGGGUGAAAGCAGGGGAUCUUCAGACCUUGCGCGAUUGAAUGAGCCGAUGUCGGAUUAGCUAGUUGGCGGGGUAAAGGCCCACCAAGGCGACGAUCCGUAGCUGGUCUGAGAGGAUGAUCAGCCACACUGGAACUGAGACACGGUCCAGCCUCCUACGGGAGGCAGCAGUGGGGAAUAUUGGACAAUGGGCGCAAGCCUGAUCCAGCCAUACCGCGUGGGUGAAGAAGGCCUUCGGGUUGUAAAGCCCUUUUGUUGGGAAAGAAAAGCAGCAGGUUAAUACCCCGCUGUUCUGACGGUACCCAAAGAAUAAGCACCGGCUAACUUCGU
rnacentral:rRNA from 1 species